GGCAACCCUGGCGACGAGUGGCGAACGGGUGNAGUAAUACAUCGGAACGUGCCCAGUAGUGGGGGAUAGCUCGGCGAAAGCCGGAUUAAUACCGCAUACGACCUACGGGUGAAAGCGGGGGAUCGCAAGACCUCGCGCUAUUGGAGCGGCCGAUGGCAGAUUAGCUUGUUGGUGGGGUAAAAGCCUACCAAGGCGACGAUCUGUAGCUGGUCUGAGAGGACGACCAGCCACACUGGGACUGAGACACGGCCCAGACUCCUACGGGAGGCAGCAGUGGGGAAUUUUGGACAAUGGGCGCAAGCCUGAUCCAGCAAUGCCGCGUGUGUGAUGAAGGCCUUCGGGUUGUAAAGCACUUUUAGUGGGAACGAAACGGUCCGGGCUAAUACCCUGGACUACUGACGGUACCCGCAGAAUAAGCACCGGCUAACUACGUGCCAGCAGCCGCGGUAAUACGUAGGGUGCAAGCGUUAAUCGGAAUUACUGGGCGUAAAGCGUGCGCAGGCGGUUUUGUAAGACCGAUGUGAAAUCCCCGGGCUCAACCUGGGAACUGCAUUGGUGACUGCAAGGCUUGAGUGUGUCAGAGGGAGGUGGAAUUCCGCGUGUAGCAGUGAAAUGCGUAGAUAUGCGGAGGAACACCGAUGGCGAA
rnacentral:rRNA from 1 species